AAACUCGGCCAGAAGCUAGAAAGUGUCAGGCAGCCGGUGAAGAAUGGCAGUGGUAGAACAUCAGCAGACGAAAAAGCAUAAAGCCUCUGAUUGCCCCGUGUUGGUAUGUCCUCUGUCACCACAUUCUUCAAGAAGGUAGAGCCUUCCCAAGAAUAAUAUGGUUUAGCUGUGCAGGAGGAUGUCUUUGCAUACCACACUAUGUGACACAAUCAUAGUUACAGAUCUAUGGACUGCACAGCACAACUGACACGAAAGCUUUAUGAGCCGAAGUUUACAUGUGCUAGGACAAAAUGUGACGCCAUAGUGAACACAGGAAACACAGGACCUACACCAGGUUGAAUUUGUGUCCCUGUCCAUUGACGCAUCCAAUCAUGGACAUGUAAAGCUGCUGCCAAUAGUAGUCAGAUAUAAAUGAUAGCAGCACAUCUGUGGAAACAAAACUGCCUGAUUUUGUUGAAUUGAAUGGAGAAACAGCAGAUGAAAUUGCAGCUGAGGUCCUGGUGGUCAUCCAAAAAUAUAACCUGGAUAACAUUCUCUGCCGACAACAUUCUCUCCCAACUUUUGAGGACUGAAUAGGCUGGGGAGGUCUUAGGUUUUCCUGCCCACAUCAUUCAUAACAUGGCCAGAACAGCUUUGGAUAUGAUGUUGAGUAUCUGCUCACAAAGAUAUUUGAAUAUGUUCUUAUUUUCACUGUCAGAGUAGAAAGACUGAAGGGCUUUUGUGAGUUUGUUGGCCAGGAGUACCAUAAUAUUUUAGGACACAGCAAUGUUCGCUGGAUGUCCAUGCUCCCUGCUCUAGAAAGAGUGCUGAAAAUGUGCCAUUGAAAUCCUUUUUUAUUUCUGAAGACAAAUGCCCUGUUGUCCUGCAAACAAUGUUUGAAGAUCCACUGACUGAACUUUGGCUGGCAUUUGACCAUGGAAACGCGACUGUAUUCAGUGACACGAUCAAGAUGCUUGAAGGCCAGGACCACUGUGCUGUGGACUACGCUGCAAUUCUGAGAAACGUUGAGGCAAAAUUGACUGCAAGACGUGAUGACAACUUCAUCCCAGUGGUCAGAGGACUUCUGAGAGAGCUGGAGGAAAAUGGAGCAAUGUCUAAAGAGAGCUUUCUCAAAAUAUCCCAAUCAUUCUUCACUAUGGCUGUGAACUACUUGCAAGCAUGGGGAAAGCACACAGAUAAUCUAAAAGAUUUACAUGGUCUCCUUUUAAAAAGGCAACCUCUGCGUGAAGAGAUCCAGAAGGCAGCAGGCACACUGCAGGAAAAAUGCCCCAAUGUGACCAUCAAUGAGGAUGCAUUGUGUGACGAGGUUACUGGCCUGCAAGAGUUCCUAAAGGGGGGAUCGCUUGAAGAAUGGAAAACAUCUGCGACACCGCUUAGUCAGAGAAGGAGCACGGUGGUUAACCACUUCAAAGAGAACGACAUCCCACACACUAACCUGGCUAGAUUAGCGUCUGUUGUGUGCUUACCUAGAAGUAAUGCACCGGUCGAGAGAGUGUUCUCCCAAAUGAAUGAUAUAUGGACAGCAGCAAGAAAUAGGUUCACUGUUCCUAUCAUCAAGGCCAUGCUUAUUGUGAAGACAAACUUUAACCUCCCCUGCCAGGAGUUCACAGAGAAGCUGUCCAAAGACCUGAAGAAAAUACAUUCUUCUGAGAAAUAUACAGAUUAGGUUGGUAUAAGUAUAUUAUGUAGUUACCAAUCUCAUCAGCAUCUUAUUUCUUUAUUAUGAUAAGUAUUUCACAUAUACUAUUGUCUGUUUUUUUCAAUUUUGCUCAUGUUCUCUUCUGCUCUUCUAGCAGGACCACUGAAUGGCUGUUCAGAUCAGUUCUGUCUUGUCUGUAGUGUUUCUGUAGUAUAGUUGUUUUCUCUAUCACAGUGUGCCUGUUAGACUAAAUACAUGAAACUGGAAUUGUCCCCCUUUUUUAUUUCAUAGAUAAUAACAUUGGAUAUUUUAAUGAUAUAAUGACCACCAAACUGGAAAUGUCCCCGGUUGUCAUUUCAGAAAUCUUAGUAUAGAGGUGCCUGCCAACCUAAAGUGCUGGUCAGCUGUAGCCUAACACAGUGUCGGCGGUGGAAACUAGUAACGCGGUGAUUUUUCCCCUCCUUGGAUUAUACAGUAUUUCAAGUCAUUUUGGUAGCCAUCUAGAUGUCACCGAUUCUACUCAAUUGGGAGAGCAUAAAUGGCAAAAACACUGGGUGUCACAACCUUUAGCUGUCACAACCCUGUGUGAUUCGGUUCACUUGACUCAUCUGCGCGACAUAAAUCAUAUUUUUGUGGGGCAGGAUUGUCAAUAUUGCCUCUCCGACUAACCAUUUGGUGGCACAGCUAGAAAGGAAAAUGUUAUGAGUCUGGUAAAAUAAUCUGUGAUAUUGUGUAGGCUAUAGCAAUGUUGUAUUAGUUUGCUCGGGUUUGAAGUAAGUACAGAUACUCACAACUCCAGCCUGAUAUGUCCCUUGUCCCCUGUCUUUUUACCCACAGUGUAACAGCCCUGGUGCUCUCUGUCUCUGUCUAUUCUUUCUUUUUCUAUGCUUGUCCUAGGGGUG
ensembl:lncRNA